GAUGAACGCUGGCGGCGUGCCUAAUACAUACAAGUCGAGCGAACGGACGAGAAGCUUGCUUCUCUGAUGUUAGCGGCGGACGGGUGAGUAACACGUGGAUAACCUACCUAUAAGACUGGGAUAACUUCGGGAAACCGGAGCUAAUACCGGAUAAUAUUUUGAACCGCAUGGUUCAAAAGUGAAAGACGGUCUUGCUGUCACUUAUAGAUGGAUCCGCGCUGCAUUAGCUAGUUGGUAAGGUAACGGCUUACCAAGGCAACGAUGCAUAGCCGACCUGAGAGGGUGAUCGGCCACACUGGAACUGAGACACGGUCCAGACUACUACGGGAGGCAGCAGUAGGGAAUCUUCCGCAAUGGGCGAAAGCCUGACGGAGCAACGCCGCGUGAGUGAUGAAGGUCUUCGGAUCGUAAAACUCUGUUAUUAGGGAAGAACAUAUGUGUAAGUAACUGUGCACAUCUUGACGGUACCUAAUCAGAAAGCCACGGCUAACUACGUG
rnacentral:rRNA from 1 species